rnacentral:rRNA from 1 species
AAACCAGCACCUCAAGUGGUCAGGAUGAUUAUUGGGCCUAAAGCAUCCGUAGCCGGCUCAGUAAGUUUUCGGAUAAAUCUGUACGCUCAACGUACAGGCUGCCGGGAAUACUGCAGAGCUAGGGAGUGGGAGAGGUAGACGGUACUCGGGAGGAAGUGGUAAAAUGCUUUGAUCUUUCGAUGACCACCUGUGGCGAAGGCGGUCUACCAGAACACGUUCGACGGUGAGGGAUGAAAGCUGGGGGAGCAAACCGGAUUAGAUACCCGAGUAGUCC